AUUGAACGCUGGCGGCAUGCUUUACACAUGCAAGUCGAACGGUAGAGGGGGCAACCCCUUGAGAGUGGCGAACGGGUGAGUAAUGCAUCGGAACGUGCCCAGUCGUGGGGAUAACGCAGCGAAAGCUGUGCUAAUACCGCAUACGAUCUCUGGAUGAAAGCGGGGGACCGAAAGGCCUCGCGCGAUUGGAGCGGCCGAUGUCAGAUUAGGUAGUUGGUGGGGUAAAGGCUAACCAAGCCAACGAUCUGUAGCUGGUCUGAGAGGACGACCAGCCACACUGGGACUGAGACACGGCCCAGACCCCUACGGGAGGCAGCAGUGGGGAAUUUUGGACAAUGGGCGCAAGCCUGAUCCAGCAAUGCCGCGUGCAGGAAGAAGGCCUUCGGGUUGUAAACUGCUUUUGUACGGAACGAAAAGGUCUGGGUUAAUACCCUGGGCACAUGACGGUACCGUAAGAAUAAGCACCGGCUAACUACGUGCCAGCAGCCGCGGUAA
rnacentral:rRNA from 1 species